AUUGAACGCUGGCGGCAUGCCUAACACAUGCAAGUCGAACGCGAAAUCACCUUCGGGUGAAAGUAGAGUGGCGGACGGGUGAGUAACGCGUGGGAAUCUGCCUAGUAGUGGGGGAUAACUCGGGGAAACUCGAGCUAAUACCGCAUACGCCCUACGGGGGAAAGGCUUCGGCCGCUAUUAGAUGAGCCCGCGUCAGAUUAGCUAGUUGGUAGGGUAAAGGCCUACCAAGGCGACGAUCUGUAGCUGGUCUGAGAGGACGAACAGCCACACUGGGACUGAGACACGGCCCAGACUCCUACGGGAGGCAGCAGUGGGGAAUAUUGGACAAUGGGCGAAAGCCUGAUCCAGCAAUGCCGCGUGUGUGAAGAAGGCCUGCGGGUUGUAA
rnacentral:rRNA from 1 species